ensembl:lncRNA
CUUUGCGGAAAACUGCACGCGAGCUGUCAAUGUGGUAGCUUCCGGUGGUCUACUCUCAGAGCGCUAUCUAGAGAAGGCAGAGCCUACAAGCAGGGCAGAGCUCAACACCGCCUCCCUCAGUAAGUACAAGAACGUGAUUGACAGCUGUGGAGGAUGGGGGCUGUUCCAGGAGCUGCUGGUUGCCUUGGAGAUGGUCGCCAGGGGCCACGGCUGCUCCAUCGCCAACGUGGCUACCCACUAUGUCCUGGACCGGCCUGCUGUGGGUGGAGUCAUCGUGGGCUGUCAUCUCGGUGUUGCCGGGGCAGAACACAGAGGACAGCCUCCACGGCUGCAGCCCAGAAUUGGAACUCACGGCGCAAGACCUGCGCACCAUCGAUGGUGUGGUGCAGCGCUCGCGUGACCUCAUGAGCCUCAUCGGAGACUGGAGACGAGUACAGGAACUAGAGGAGAAUGGAGAGGAUGGACCAGAUCUCACCCAUCUACACACAAUACCCCAUGACAAAUUGAAAACAUGUUUUUAGAAAUGUUAGUAAAUUUAUUGAAAAUGAAAUACUAAUAUCUAAUUUACAUAAGUAUUCACACCCCUGAGUCAAUAAAUGUUAUAAUUUUUUUAACCUUUACUUAACGAGGCAAGUCGGUUAGGAACAAUUUCUUAUUUACAAUGACGGCCUACCAUGGCCAAAUCUUUGGCAGCGAUUCCAGCUGUGAGUCUUCUGGGUAAGUCUCUAAGACAUUUGCACACCUGGAUUGUACAAUAUUUGCACAGUAUUCUUUGUAAAAUUCGUCAAGCUCCGUCAAGUUGGUUGUUGAUCAUUCCAAGACAGCCAUUUAAGUCUAGCCAUAGAUUUCCAAGGCCAUUUUAAGUCAAAACUGUACCUAGGCCUCUCAGGAAAAUUCAAUGUAAUCUUGUUAAGUGUAUAUUUGGCCUUGUGUUUUAGGCUAUUGUCCUGCUGAAAGUUGAUUUUUUUUUUUUUAGGAUAAAAAGAAAUGGAAUAAAACUCCCGAGUCUUUGUUGAUGACAGGCAUAACCAUAACAUGAUGCAGCCAGCAUGUGUGAAAAUAUGAAGAGUGGUACUCAGUGAUUUGCCCCAAACAUACAACACUUUGUAUUCAGGGCAUAGUUAAUUUCUUUGCCAAACAUGUUGCAGUUUUACUUUAGUGCCUUAUUGCAAACAGGAUGCAUGUUUUGGAAUUUUUGUAUUCUGUACGGGCUUCCUUCUUUUCACUGUCAUUUAGGUUAGUAUUGUGGGGUAACUACAAUGUUGUUGAUCCAUCCUCAGUUUCUCCUAUCACAGCCAUUAAAAUCUGAAACUGUAUUAAAGUCACCAUUGGCCUCCAGGUGAAAUCCCUGAGCAGUUUCCUUCAUCUCCGGCUACUGAGUUAGGAAGGACACCUGUAACUUUGUAGUGACCGGGUGUAUUGAUACACCAUCCAAAGUGUAAUUAAUAACUUCACCAUGCUCAAAGGGAUAUUCAAUGUCUGCUUAUUUAAUUACAUUCUUUACCCAUCUACCAAUAGGUACCACCCUUUGCGAGACAUUGGAAAACCUCCCUGGUCUUUGUGGUUGAAUCUGUGUUUGAAAUUCACUGCUCGACUGAGCAACCUUAAAUAUGAUUGUAUGUGUGGGGUACAGAGAUGAGGUAGUCAUUCAAAAAUCAUGUUAAACACUAUUAUUGCAACUUAUUAUGUGACUUGUUCAGCACAUUUUUAUUGCUGAACUUAUUUAGGCUUGCCAUAACAAAGGGGUUGAAUACUUAUUGACUCAAGACAUUUCAGCUUUUCAUUUUGUAUUCAUUUCUAAACAUUUCCAAAAACAUCAUUCCACUUUGACUUAAUGGGGUAUUGUGUGUAGGCCAGUGACACAAAAUCUCCACGUGAUCCAUUUUAAAUUCAGGCAGUAUCAACAUGUAACAAAAUGUGGAUAAAGUCAAG